ACUGCCUCUUCAUCCUGUGGAUGAUACUUCUCAGUUGAGGGUUAAAAUUGAACCAGGAUUCCAAAGUGUUUACACAUGGCUGAGUUCUCUUGGGGUAGGGUGAGGGUACCCUGUGCUUUGGGAGCACUGGCUUUUUAUUCCUCAUGUUGACUCAGGCCCAUAAGUUGCAGAAAGUGAGCAUUUCCCUACAGGGUUCUACUUUUCCCCUGCCAGUAUCAUUUCAGACACAUCGUUUUCUGGAAAACACUGUGGUCCCAGGACCUCAUGGCAUUACAUGUCUUAAGCCAGGCAAGAAUUACAAAGUAGACAGCUGGGCACACCUGUGUGCAGGCUCUUGAAGUGGGAGCAUAGAUUAUUGAGCAAGACAUUUCCUCUUUUCUGAUGCAAAUAUCUCAGCACUAUAAAUUUACUGCUUGUCCUGUUUUAGCUACAUCCACAACCAACAAAUUUUGAGAAGAAUAACAGGAUGACCACAGUUGACCUGAGCUUCCUUGGCCUUUCAGAAUCAACAUGCCCGAAAGUACUAAUUCUACUUGAAGGGCCACAGACAUGGUCUUUCUAUUGGCAUCUUCCCUGCGGGACCCCGAAGACUCACCACACACUGGUCACAGAAGCCUCUGGAAGCAAGAAGAAUGCUGCAGCAGUUUCUAUUUUUUAUUUCUGCUUUGUGGGCUUAUCUAGAUCUGCAUUUUGCAUUCUGUUUUCAAAAUACCUUUAAGGGGAGUUUUUAAAAGAUCAUUUUUGCCUUGGGGCAAAAACAAGGAAAAUUGCUGUGGAAAACAUGCCCACAAAAUAGAUGUAUUGAGGCUUGCUCAGAA